ACUACCGAUUGAAUGUUUUAGUGAGAUAUCCGGACUGAGAGCCGAGUGGUUUGCGCUGCACGGUCUUCGGGAAGUUUAUCAAACUUGAACAUUUAGAGGAAGUAAAAGUCGUAACAAGGUUUCCGUAGGUGAACCUGCGGAAGGAUCAUUAACGAA
rnacentral:rRNA from 1 species